rnacentral:rRNA from 1 species
UACCAGCACCCCGAGUGGUCGGGACGAUUAUUGGGCCUAAAGCAUCCGUAGCCGGUCAUGCAAGUCCUCCGUUAAAUCCACCUGCUUAACAGAUGGGCUGCGGAGGAUACUACAAGGCUAGGAGGCGGAAGAGGCAAGCGGUACUCAGUGGGUAGGGGUAAAAUCCUCUGAUCCAUUGAAGACCACCAGUGGCGAAGGCGGCUUGCCAAUAACGCGCUCGACGGUGAGGGAUGAAAGCUGGGGGAGCAACCGG